rnacentral:rRNA from 1 species
AGUGAACGCUGGCGGUAGGCCUAACACAUGCAAGUCGAACGGCAGCACCGUAAGAGCUUGCUCUUACGGGUGGCGAGUGGCGGACGGGUGAGGAAUACAUCGGAAUCUACUUUUUCAUGGGGGAUAACGUAGGGAAACUUACGCUAAUACCGCAUACGACCUACGGGUGAAAGCAGGGGAUCUUCGGACCUUGCGCGAUUGAAUGAGCCGAUGUCGGCUUAGCUAGUUGGCGGGGUAAAGGCCCACCAAGGCGACGAUCCGUAGCUGGUCUGAGAGGAUGAUCAGCCACACUGGAACUGAGACACGGUCCAGACUCCGACGGGAGGCAGCAGUGGAGAAUAUUGGACAAUGGGCGCAAGCCUGAUCCAGCCAUACCGCGUGGGUGAAGAAGGCCUUCGGGUUGUAAAGCCCUUUUGUUGGGAAAGAAAAGCAGCAGGUUAAUACCCCGCUGUUCUGACGGUACCCAAAGAAUAAGCACCGGCUAACUUCGUG